rnacentral:rRNA from 1 species
ACGCUGGCGGCGUGCCUAACACAUGCAAGUCGAACGAAGCUCUGCGAUACAAGACUUCGGUCAAGUUGAACGGAUGACUUAGUGGCGGACGGGUGAGUAACGCGUGGGUAACCUGCCUUGUACUGGGGGACAACAGUUGGAAACGACUGCUAAUACCGCAUAAGCGCACAGCUUCGCAUGAAGCAGUGUGAAAAACUCCGGUGGUAUAAGAUGGACCCGCGUCUGAUUAGCUUGUUGGUGAGGUAACGGCCCACCAAGGCGACGAUCAGUAGCCGGCCGGAGAGGGUGAACGGCCACAUUGGGACUGAGACACGGCCCAAACUCCUACGGGAGGCAGCAGUGGGGAAUAUUGCACAAUGGGGGAAACCCUGAUGCAGCGACGCCGCGUGAGUGAUGAAGUAUUUCGGUAUGUAAAACUCUAUCAGCAGGGAAGAUAAUGACGGUACCUGACUAAGAAGCACCGGCUAAAUACGUG